GCCUAGGACAUGAAGGGAAGACCAGACAGGAUCUUAGCGUCUAUAGCAAGAGAGACAGGUUGUAGGAUUUUGCCUGAAGAUAGCUUAGUGAUAUUGUGAGGUCUUCUGUCUCAGCCCCUGGGUCUCUGCUGAAGACCUUAAGAGCAAUGUUACCUAGAGAGGGGUAGGUUUGAGAUGUUGCUUGGAAUUUGAGCAACCCAUGAUUUCUUAGGCCGCCCACCAUGAGCCCAGGCUGGAG
rnacentral:lncRNA from 1 species